CCUCCCUGUUUACCAAAGCUUUGUUUUUAUUCUCUCUCUCACGACGUAGUUCAGACUGACCUUGAAUUCACUGUGUACCCAGGCUGGUCUCAAGCUCUCAGUGAUCCUCCUGCCUCGGCCUCCCGAGUCCUGGGAUCGCAGGCAUGGGCCAUCACAGCUGGCCUUCUCACUCUUUUAAAAUCCUGCUUCUACACCCUUCCUUCUCCAUUCCCCUCCCCAUUUGAACAAGCUUCUCUUACUUCCCAAUGUGGAUCCUUCAGUUUGCUCCUUAUUUACUCUUUGGGUUUUACUCGCUGCAGCCUGACUUAAUCCCUGGAAAGUACGCUCAGUACCCUGCAUGCCCAGAUCUCCGGGAUGCACCAAGGGGCACAGGAGAAUCUGCAUGAAAACAGCUUCACAGGGCAUCAGAUCCACUGGAAUCCUGCUGGAUUGUGGCCAUGGAGAGCAGCAUGUUUGCAAUGAGAGUGUCUCCCGUGCACACAUAGAGCAUCACUUAGCAGGGAUCAUUUUGAUACUCAACAAAGGUCACAGAUGUCAGAGAAGCAAUUCCUUCACUCUUACAUUAGUAAGACAAAUCAUUAGGAAAAUGUAGCCAUAGCCAUUCAUAUAAAUGACCUAAAAGAUGUAUCUUAAAUAUUUAGCAAAGUUAUCUAAAUAGCUCUUGUAACUGUGUAAAGUCUGUGCAUUUUAUAAGAUCUCUGUAAAUAAAUGUUGGAUGAUGACUAAAUCAGAAAAGAGGAUGGAUUACCCCAGAGGGAUUAGGAUAAAGAGUUAGUAAUAAGAUAAAAUAGAAUCAGGAUAAAAACUAGGCUUAAUAUCACAACGAAGUUCUUAAUAGGGAGAACCAUUAGACUGUGAAAUAGUCUUUCAGAGAUUCUGGAAGAAGUCAUUACAAGAGCUAUUUAAAAUCAGAAUGGGCUGAAGCAUUCCAAAAUACGGGGGACGCUGUCGGGACCAAGCCUGCAUUAGACGUGCAAGGGGAGAGGACCCGGUGGUUCCUAGCAUCUCUGUGAUUACUAUGAUUGUACUCAUUUUAUGUGCUCAGUCUUGCUAGAUAAUUUUCUAUCAUUUUAUGCUACUUCUUGGGAGUGAUUUCAACAAAUUCAUCUAAUGCAGAAUUGGAUCAUUUAGAAGAAUCUCAAAAGCGGCGAGAAUGCAAGAUGAACUCAGUGUGAAGCAGCAAAGUGAGAGGAGCGUGAGCCAACACCUGCUUCUUUUUUGGAGUUCUUGGGGAGAAGGCAAGUCUCCCAGCCACUCUGGCUGGACUCCAGGAUGCAGACGUGCACCCUGCUCUCCUGGAUUUCCACAGGAAUUAGGAAUUCCCUUUCAUUUCUUUCAUGUAAUGGUUUCUUGAGAUGAUUCUGAGUACAGGAAAAAGAAUCAAAACCAUCCAUCCCCAAGACAGCAGGCUGUAUUUUGUAAGAAAAAGACAAAACCCUAGAAAAUGAUCCUGCUUUGUUUUGUGACUGACCAUUGUUGGGGGAACGAACAAGAAAGAAAAGGACGUUUACGGGAAGCCACUGAGGCACAAAAAGAGGCAAAUGGACACGGGAAAGCUGUAAGACAUGGCUGAGAAUCCUUCAAAAUGAGACACCCUCAAUGUGUGUAUCAGGAAGCAGGGCAGUGGGACAGACGACCCUCCGGGGCUCCUGCCUGCUGUCUUGUUGAACACAAAUACUAACUUCAACAUAAAAGUGAAUAUCAUUUGAUUUUAUGCAA